rnacentral:misc_RNA from 1 species
AACGAGGCCGACCUGCGGCUGAGUUACCUGCGGAGGGAUCAUUACAAGUGACCCCGGUCUAACCACCGGGAUGUUCAUAACCCUUUGUUGUCCGACUCUGUUGCCUCCGGGGCGACCCUGCCUUCGGGCGGGGGCUCCGGGUGGACACUUCAAACUCUUGCGUAACUUUGCAGUCUGAGUAAACUUAAUUAAUAAAUUAAAACUUUUAACAACGGAUCU